UUGGAGGGCAAGUCUGGUGCCAGCAGCCGCGGUAAUUCCAGCUCCAAUAGCGUAUAUUAAAGUUGUUGCAGUUAAAAAGCUCGUAGUUGAACUUCGGGAUCAAUUAGUUGGUCAUGCCUUGGUAUGUACUGAUUUUAUUGGUUCUCACCUUCUAAAGAACUAUAAUGUCAUUUAUUUGAUGUUAUAGGGAAUUAGGACUGUUACCUUGAAAAAAUUAGAGUGUUUAAAGCAGGCUCACGCUUGAAUACAUUAGCAUGGAAUAAUGAAAUAGGACAUCGCAUUCUAUUUUGUUGGUUUCUAGGAUCGAUGUAAUGAUUAAUAGGGAUAGUUGGGGGCAUUAGUAUUCAAUUGUCAGAGGUGAAAUUCUUGGAUUUAUUGAAGACUAACUACUGCGAAAGCAUCUGCCAAGGAUGUUUUCAUUAAUCAAGAACGAAAGUUAGGGGAUCGAAGACGAUCAGAUACCGUCGUAGUCUUAACCAUAAACUAUGCCGACUAGGGAUCGGAUGAUGUUGAUUUUUUAAUGACUCAUUCGGCACCUUACGGGAAACCAAAGUGUUUGGGUUC
rnacentral:rRNA from 1 species